UACGUAGGGGGCUAGCGUUGUCCGGAAUCAUUGGGCGUAAAGCGCGUGUAGGCGGUCCGGUAAGUCCGCUGUGAAAGUCGGGGGCUCAACCCUCGAAUGCCGGUGGAUACUGUCGGGCUAGAGUGCGGAAGAGGCGAGUGGAAUUCCUGGUGUAGCGGUGAAAUGCGUAGAGAUGCGGAGGAACACCGAUGGCGAAGGCAGCCCCCUGGGCUAACACUGACGCUCAGGCACGAAAGGCGUGGGGAGCAAACAGG
rnacentral:rRNA from 1 species